GCGGAUGUAGCCAAGUGGAUUAAGGCAGUGGAUUGUGAAU
rnacentral:tRNA from 6 species